rnacentral:rRNA from 1 species
AUUGAACGCUGGCGGCAGGCCUAACACAUGCAAGUCGAACGAGUGGCGGACGGGUGAGUAAUGUCUGGGAAACUGCCUGCUGGAGGGGGAUAACUACUGGAAACGGUAGCUAAUACCGCAUACCAUCGGAUGUGCCCAGAUGGGAUUAGCUAGUAGGUGGGGUAACGGCUCCCCUGGGCGACGAUCCCUAGCUGGUCUGAGAGGAUGACCAGCCACACUGGAACUGAGACACGGUCCAGACUCCGACGGGAGGCAGCAGUGGGGAAUAUUGCACAAUGGGCGCAAGCCUGAUGCAGCCAUGCCGCGUGGAUGAAGAAGGCCUUCGGGUUGUAAAGUACUUUCAGCGGGGAGGCGUUACUCGCAGAAGAAGCACCGGCUAACUACGUGCCAGCAGCCGCGGUAAUUC